rnacentral:rRNA from 1 species
CCUACGGGAGGCAGCAGUGGGGAAUAUUGCACAAUGGGGGAAACCCUGAUGCAGCGACGCCGCGUGAGUGAAGAAGUAUUUCGGUACGUAAAGCUCUAUCAGCAGGGAAGAAAAUGACGGUACCUGACUAAGAAGCCCCGGCUAACUACGUGCCAGCAGCCGCGGUAAUACGUAGGGGGCAAGCGUUAUCCGGAUUUACUGGGUGUAAAGGGAGCGUAGACGGCAGCGCAAGUCUGGAGUGAAAUCCCAUGGCUUAACCAUGGAACUGCUUUUGAAAUUGUGCAGCUAGAGUGCAGGAGAGGUAAGCGGAAUUCCUAGUGUAGCGGUGAAAUGCGUAGAUAUUAGGAGGAACACCAGUGGCGAAGGCGGCUUACUGGACUGUAACUGACGUUGAGGCUCGAAAGCGUGGGGAGCAAACAGGAUUAGAUACCCCUGUAGUC